UCUCCUCUUUCCCCCCCUCCUAUCCUCUCCGGCCCAGUGUGCGCUGUACCGGCGCUGUGCUUGCUCAGGUAUUCGGUAGAUCGGGGGCGGUGCUGAUCCCCCCCCGAGAUAGACGCCCGUCCGGCUGCGGGGGCACUCUGCUCCCAGUUAUUUAUUUCCUUUUAUAUGCGUGGCCUGAGUCAAAAUUUGCCGGAGCCCUCUGGAUCGCCCCCUUCCCCCGCUCCAGCAGUCGUUGUUACACUGGUUUUGAGUAAGGAGCUGAAGCGGCAGAUGCAGAGACAGGGAAUGUCACAGAGCAUGUCAGCGAGCCAGCUGCAGUCAGGAAGAGGUGUGCCUUGUUUACGCUGCAGAGGGACGUGCACAGGCUUUGAGCCACAUUCUUGGAGGAAAAUCUGCAAGUCGUGCAAAUGCAGCCAGGAGGAUCACAGCCUCAGCUCAGACCUGGAGGAUGAUCGGAAAAUUGGGCGCCUGCUGUCGGACUCCAAGUACGCCACUCUCACCGCCCGGGUGAAAGGGGGUGAUGGCGUUCGCAUUUACAAAAGGAACCGCAUGAUCAUCACCAACCCCAUCGUGUCUCGGAAAGACCCCACCUUUGACACCAUCACAUAUGAGUGGGCUCCACCAGGGCUCACCCAGAAGCUGGCCAUGCAGUACAUGGAGCUGAUCCCGAAGGAGAUGCAGCCGGUGGCGGGGACUGACGGGGCCUACUAUCGCAGGCGGCAGCUGAUGAGACAACUCCCGCUGUAUGACCAGGACCCCUCGCAGUGCCGCGGCCUCGCCGAGGGCGAGCUGAAGCUGAUGGAAGACUUCGUGAAGAAGUAUAAAGCUGAAGCACUGGGCGUUGGGGAGGUGGCGCUGCCAGGCCAGGGUGGCAGCGGGAAGGAGGAGGGGAAGCCACAGGACAAGAGCAUCACUGCUGCCAAACCCCCUGAGACCACCAACGGGGCCCUGGAGAGCGUGCCCACGGCAGGACACUACCACUGCGAAACCUGCAAGCAGGCGGUGCCAGGGGAUUGCCCAGUGGUGUACGCUGACAGGGCUGGCUACUCCCACCAGUGGCACCCGGCCUGCUUCGUCUGCUGCUGCUGUGCCGAGCCCCUCGUCGACCUCAUCUACUUCUGGAAGAGCGGGGCAGCCUGGUGCGGGCGCCACUACUGUGAGAGCCUCCGGCCACGCUGCGCCGGCUGCGACGAGAUCAUCUUCUCGGAGGACUACCAGCAGGCAGAAGGGAUGGCCUGGCACAAGAAGCACUUUGCCUGCCUGGAGUGUGAGACACUGCUGACCGGCAAACCCUUCACUCUGGACAAGGCCAGCCUCCUGUGCACAACCUGCAGCAAAAGCAAACGCCUCUGAGUGGGGAGCAGCCCGGGGGAAAACCAGGCUCCCCGAGGUCCCACCAGAACUGGGGUCAUUUGACAAGCACGUGAGAAAGGGGAAGGUAAAAAAUAUUAGAGCCUGGCCAUUCACUCUCAAGCAACUCAGUGUCCCCUUGCAUCCAAUACAACUUGCAGGAGAAUAUUUCUGUGGGAGGAAGCAAAGGGAGCUCACACACCUGUGGGUGGGAGGUACAUGGCAUGUCUGAAGAGGAGGGACUGAAAAGGAGGUUCUGUGUUCUGCUGGUUUUUUAUAAAGUCUCUCCAAGCUUCUUGUGACUCAGAUCUUGUAACAGUCUUUUGGAAAUAACACAUCUCAAAAGUAACUUUUGGCAUACUAUACCUCCGGUCACAGUCAAAAACAAGUGUUGUUCAUAUUUGUUGAAAUCCAUGCUGGAAGUUUACACUACCAGGCUGCUGACAAGGUACUAAAGCAAUGGGUUUGAAAAAUCGGAUUAACCAGAGUGAUUACUUUCUGAAAGCAAAUGGUAUAAAAUUGCAGCAACAUGUAGCUGUAGCUUUCUCCUAAGUGUACCAUAAUGUAAAAAUAACAAGAUGGGCACAAAGGGCGAUGGGUUUAACCCUGGUGAGAUGAGAAUGGUGCAGCUCUGCCCUGGAACAGCCGUCUGCCUCAAUCUAGAUGAGCUUUAGCCCUAAAACCAGGAUGCAGAAGCACUGCUGGCGUGUCCCCCGGCCGGGCUCCCCAGCCUCCCACUGCCCGCUGCUCCAGGCGAGCGCGGUUCCACAGAGCGGCAUUGUGCUCUGACAACAAUGCUGGAGGUCAUUAAGCAUUUAGAGUGUGAGUCUUUAUUUCAGCUGGGUUAGACCAGGAAUUUUAUGGAAAACGGCUUUCCAGCCAAAGCUGUCUUGGGGCAGGGGGUUGUGCCUGAAUGCUGCAAUACCCAUUUUUCUUUGUACUAUGUCAGUGAUCCCUUCCAAGUACCAGGGAACCAUCCCUUCCCCUUGGAGCUGGCAGCACCCACACCCUGGGCUCUGCACUGC